AAAAUUCACUAGGGGAGCUAAUCUGCUGAGAGGAAAUUACUUAAAUUUCGACCCUAUAACCUGAUCUAGUUAGUACUAGCGGAGGGAAGUGUAAUAUUUUCAUG
rnacentral:ncRNA from 2 species